GGUCGGUUCGACAAGUUGGUCAAGUCGUCGCCCUUUCAAGGCGGAGUCACGGGUUCGAGUCCCGUACCGACUA
rnacentral:tRNA from 1 species